UCCCUGGUGGUUCAGUGGUUAGGACUCUGCACUUUCACUGCCAAGGGCACUGGUUCAAUCCCUGGUCAGGGAA
rnacentral:tRNA from 1 species